CUUGCUUUCUGCAAAAUUCGCCCAUCGUCUCCUUCUUCAUCACUUAAUCCUCGUGAUUUUUAUGAUUCACACUUGCUCCAUUAAGAUAAUCACAUGGUUGAAAGAAUCUUAUUCACAUGACUAUUGAGCCAUGCAUGCUUAAAGAAGUGAGAUGGACGAGAAACGAGCUACGCGUGAGCUAUAUCAGAUACCAUUGAUUGUACAACAAUCAUUAGAA